rnacentral:SRP_RNA from 1 species
GCCUGUAGUCCCAGCUACUCGGGAGGCUGAGGCUGGAGGAUCUCUUGAGUCCAGGAGUUCUGGGCUGUAGUGCAUUAUGCCAGUCGGGUGUCUGCACUAAGUUCAGCAUCAAUAUGGUGACCUCCCAGGAGCAGGGGACCACCAGGUUGCCUAAGGAGGGGUGAAUCGGCCCAGGUUGGAAACGGAGCAGGUCAAAACUCCCAUGCUGAUCAGUAGUGGGAUCGCACUUGUGAAUAGCCACUGCACUCCAGCCUGGGUGACAUAGCAAGACCACAUCUCU